rnacentral:rRNA from 1 species
GGGCCCGCACAAGCGGAGGAACAUGUGGUUUAAUUCGAUGAUACGCGAGGAACCUUACCCGGGCUUGAAUUGCAUUUGAAUACAGUGGAAACAUUGUAGCCAGCAAUGGCAAAUGUGAAGGUGCUGCAUGGUUGUCGUCAGCUCGUGCCGUGAGGUGUCGGCUUAAGUGCCAUAACGAGCGCAACCCUCAUCACUAGUUACCAUCAGGUCAAGCUGGGGACUCUAGUGAGACUGCCGGCGUAAGCUGUGAGGAAGGUGGGGAUGACGUCAAAUCAGCACGGCCCUUACGUCCGGGGCGACACACGUGUUACAAUGGGGGGUACAGCGGGUUGCUACCUGGUGACAGGAUGCUAAUCUUAAAAACCCUUCUCAGUUCGGAUCGGAGUCUGCAACUCGACUUCGUGAAGCUGGAUUCGCUAGUAAUCGCGCAUCAGCCAUGGCGCGGUGAAUACGUUCCCGGGCCUU